UUGGCCUUCUGCUCUCGUUUGUGUUUAAUGUGGGAAUCACUGACUGAAGCCCUAUUUUGAGUCAAUGCCAAAGGACAGAAUAAGAACAUACGGGAGAACCAAAUCAUGCCACGAGUGUGGGGGAGAUGGCCAAGAUGCCGAUUUUCUUCUAGCCUCUGAUAGCGUCAGUUCCCUCCCUCUGAAUGUGCCCAAGCAGUUCUUCAGCUGUUCCCCAGCCGUCGUGUACUCCAACUGUGACCUGCUGAAUGUGGGCUCCGGCUUCGUUACGUGUCUCGUUUUCCAAGGUGAAACAUUAACUCGUCUCCCUCUGUUAUGCAUCGUAGCAGCUUUGGUGUGAGGAUGAAGUCCAGCUAGUCCUAGGGCAGAGUGUGGGCUGGGCUGGUUUCCUGUGUGGACAGGCAGGGCAGGGCCUAGUUCGGGUGUGUCUAGGGAGUAAGGCUCAGGGUUCACCCUUGGCAAAUGUUUAGCCAGAAAUGCCUUUGCUAGUCUCUUUUCAAUGUCCUUCUUUGGGAAAGUGAGUUCCAAUGGUGCUUUGGAAAGGCUCCAAGGAGACAGUUGUCAUACCCUUGGGCCUUUUUGGCCGAGGGGCAAGGGCUAGCCCAGGCAGAAGGCAGGUCCCUAUUUUUAAUAAAUUCUCAACUCUCUGAGGCUACUCUAGAGAGAAGACACCUGCUCCUUCUUUUCUUUUUCUUAUUUUGAGACAGAGUCUAUGUAGCCCUGGCCAUCCUGGAACUGGUUAUAUAGUCCAGGCUAGCCUUGAGCUCACAGGAAUCGCUUGCCUGAUUCCUGAGUGCUGGGAUUAAAGGCGUGUGCCACCAUGGCCACAUCUUUAUUUUCUUUCCUCAGAGUAUGGUCCUCUGUCACAGCCUUUUCCUCAUGCUGACUGACUGGCACUGCCCUUCCUAUAUGGAGCAAGCCAGGGGAGUGCUGUGAGAAUUGCUGGGAUUGCCAGGGAAGGUGAGGAGAGGACAGAUAGACCUUCAGCAGACUGCCUCAGGACAUUGUUUCUUCCACGCUUUGCAUCUUUGUCCUGCUUAGACUUUAUUGUCAAUUUGACACAGCUGAGCGUCACUUGGGGUGGCAGCUGAGGGGCUGCCUCCAUCACACCUAGAUUAGGUUGGCCUGUACACGCCUUCCUCCCCAAGGUGCUUUUGCCAUGGUGUUUAUCACACCAACAGAAAACAAACUCUGAUGAUGUUUUCUGUAAACACAGAAAAGGCUGAGAACACUGUAAGGGUAUAAGUCCAGAUGUAAGAGACAUUUUAAACAACAGUAGUGCUGGGGCGAUGGCUCGGCAGUUAGGGCACUCGCUGCUCUUUCAGACGACCUGGGUUUGGGUCUCAGUACCCAUAUGGUGGCUCACGACUAUCUGUAAAACCAGUUCUAGGGGAUCCAAUGCUCUCUGUUGAACCCCUUGGGCACCAAGCAUGAGUGUAGUACACAAACGCAAGGCUGAACUCUCACACAUAAAGUUAAAACAAAACGGCUUUACCUCCUCUCCUUUCACAAAAGGAAACAGCCUGCUCUCAACAGACUUCAAAUCCUGAUUUUGCC
ensembl:lncRNA